rnacentral:lncRNA from 1 species
UGCUUCUGUGUUAUGUUUAGUCUUCUCUUGCAUUACUUUUUUUUGUGACUGCUGGAAUCCUGUACAGCUUAAUAUCCUAACGUAUAGUUUGGAAUGGUGUCUCUUUCAAAAUUAUGGAAUUGAAAAUUCUCUCCAUUUGAUUAUAACAUUGACAACAGGAUGUUGAAGGUCGAAGGAUUAGAUUCCCUUUCUAUACCGAUGAUAAACAUAGUUUAAAGGCCCACUGUAAAUUAACUGUUCUGUCAUAGCCUUACCUUAUCAACCUCCUGCUUUACUUAUUUGAAAUUACCUGACAAUGGUACCUGCAUACCUAAUCAAAGUUUGUGAUUUUUUUUUUGGCCUUGAUACGGAGGCUCGUGGAGAGCCUGUGCCAAGUCUGAAGUCUUGUGCCAAAAUUUUCUCGUGCC